AAAGGCACCGCCCUAGUAUCGGCGAGUGAAGCGGCAACAGCUCAAAUUUGAAAUCUGACGUUUCCGACGUCCGAGUUGUAAUUUGCAGAGGAUGCUUUUGGCGACGUGCCUUCCGAGUUCCCUGGGACGGGACGCCAUAGAGGGUGAGAGCCCCGUACGGUCUGGCGCCGAGCCGCUGUAAAGCUCCUUCGACGAGUCGAGUAGUUUGGGAAUGCUGCUCUAAAUGGGAGGUAAACUCCUUCUAAAGCUAAAUAUUGGCCAGAGACCGAUAGCGCACAAGUAGAGUGAUCGAAAGAUGAAAAGCACUUUGAAAAGAGAGUUAAACAGCACGUGAAAUUGUUGAAAGGGAAGCGCUUAUGACCAGACUUGGGCCUGGUGGUUCAGCCGUCCUUCUGGGCGGUGCACUCCGCCGGUUCAGGCCAGCAUCAGUUGCCGGUUGGGGAGAAAGGUGGUGGGAACGUGGCUCUUCGGAGUGUUAUAGCCCACCACUAUGCCCUCCUGGCGACUGAGGUUAGCGUAUGCUGGCGUAAUGGUUAUUAGCGACCCGUCUUGAAACACGGACCAAGGAGUCGUCCUGUCAUGCGAGUGUUCGGGUGCCAAACCCCUACGCGUAAUGAAAGUGAACGGAGGUGAGAGCUUCGGCGCAUCAUCGACCGAUCCUGAUGUCCUCGGAUGGAUUUGAAUAAGAACAUGGCGGGCCGGACCCGAAAAAAGUGAACUAUGCUUGGAUAGGGCAAAGCCCAAGGAAACUUUGGUGGAAGCUCGCACGGUCUGACUGCAAAUCGAUCUCAAAUCUGAACAUGGGGGGCAAAAACUAAUCCAACCUUCUAUAA
rnacentral:rRNA from 1 species